rnacentral:rRNA from 1 species
GAUGCUAAUACCGGAUAAAAGACUACUUUCGUCAUGAAAGAAGUUUAAAAGGACGGCGUAAGCUGUCGCUAAAGGAUGGACAUGCGAUGCAUUAGCUAGUUGGUAAGGUAACGGCUUACCAAGGCGAUGAUGCAUAGCCGAGUUGAGAGACUGAUCGGCCACAUUGGGACUGAGACACGGCCCAAACUCCUACGGGAGGCAGCAGCC